rnacentral:rRNA from 1 species
UACAGAGGUCCCGAGCGUUGUUCGGAUUCACUGGGCGUAAAGGGUGCGCAGGUGGGCUGGUAAGUUCGAUGUGAAAGCCCCGGGCUUAACCCGGGAAAGGCAUUGGAUACUACUGGUCUGGAGGAUUGGAGGGGGGACUGGAAUUCUUGGUGUAGCAGUGAAAUGCGUAGAUAUUCGCAAGAACACCAGUGGCGAAGGCGGCUGACUGGUCCGGUUCUGACGCUGAGGCGCGAAAGCGUGGGGAGCAAACAGG